rnacentral:rRNA from 1 species
UGGGGAAUAUUGGACAAUGGGGGCAACCCUGAUCCAGCAAUGCCGCGUGAGUGAUGAAGGCCCUAGGGUUGUAAAGCUCUUUUACCAGGGAUGAUAAUGACAGUACCUGGAGAAUAAGCUCCGGCUAACUCCGUGCCAGCAGCCGCGGUAAUACGGAGGGAGCUAGCGUUGUUCGGAAUUACUGGGCGUAAAGCGCGCGUAGGCGGCUAUUCAAGUCAGAGGUGAAAGCCCGGGGCUCAACCCCGGAAUUGCCUUUGAAACUAGGUAGCUAGAAUCUUGGAGAGGUGAGUGGAAUUCCGAGUGUAGAGGUGAAAUUCGUAGAUAUUCGGAAGAACACCAGUGGCGAAGGCGACUCACUGGACAAGUAUUGACGCUGAGGUGCGAAAGCGUGGGGAGCAAACAGGAUUAGAUACCCCCGUAGUCC